AAAUUGAAGAGUUUGAUCAUGGCUCAGAUUGAACGCUGGCGGCAGGCCUAACACAUGCAAGUCGAACGGUAACAGGAAGCAGCUUGCUGCUUUGCUGACGAGUGGCGGACGGGUGAGUAAUGUCUGGGAAACUGCCUGAUGGAGGGGGAUAACUACUGGAAACGGUGGCUAAUACCGCAUAACGUCGCAAGACCAAAGAGGGGGACCUUCGGGCCUCUUGCCAUCAGAUGUGCCCAGAUGGGAUUAGCUUGUUGGUGAGGUAACGGCUCACCAAGGCGACGAUCCCUAGCUGGUCUGAGAGGAUGACCAGCCACACUGGAACUGAGACACGGUCCAGACUCCUACGGGAGGCAGCAGUGGGGAAUAUUGCACAAUGGGCGCAAGCCUGAUGCAGCCAUGCCGCGUGUAUGAAGAAGGCCUUCGGGUUGUAAAGUACUUUCAGCGGGGAGGAAGGUGUUGUGGUUAAUAACCACAGCAAUUGACGUUACCCGCAGAAGAAGCACCGGCUAACUCCGUGCCAGCAGCCGCGGUAAUACGGAGGGUGCAAGCGUUAAUCGGAAUUACUGGGCG
rnacentral:rRNA from 1 species